UUUCAAAACUGCAUCCCUUGAGUAUCGGAGAGGCAAGCGGAAUUCCUAGUGUAGCGGUGAAAUGCGUAGAUAUUAGGAGGAACACCGGUGGCGAAGGCGGCUUUCUGGACUGUAACUGACGCUGAGGUACGAAAGCGUGGGGAGCAAACAGGAUUAGAUACCCUGGUAGUCCACGCCGUAAACGAUGAGCACUAGGUGUCGGGGUCGUAGGAUUUCGGUGCCGCAGUUAACGCAUUAAGUGCUCCGCCUGGGGAGUACGCACGCAAGUGUGGAACUCAAAGGAAUUGACGGGGACCCGCACAAGCAGCGGAGCAUGUGGUUUAAUUCGAAGCAACGCGAAGAACCUUACCAGGACUUGACAUCCCUCUGACAGACCUUUAACCGGGUCCUUCUUCGGACAGAGGAGACAGGUGGUGCAUGGUUGUCGUCAGCUCGUGUCGUGAGAUGUUGGGUUAAGUCCCGCAACGAGCGCAACCCUUGUUGCUAGUUACUAACAUUAAGUUGAGGACUCUAGUGAGACUGCCGGGGACAACUCGGAGGAAGGUGGGGAUGACGUCAAAUCAUCAUGCCCCUUAUGUUCUGGGCUACACACGUGCUACAAUGGCCGGUACAAAGAGACGCAAAGUCGUGAGGCGGAGCAAAACUCAAAAACCGGUCCCAGUUCGGACUGCAGGCUGCAACUCGCCUGCACGAAGUUGGAGUUGCUAGUAAUCGUGGAUCAGAAUGCCACGGUGAAUGCGUUCCCGGGUCUUGUACACAC
rnacentral:rRNA from 1 species